UGCCAGCCGCCGCGGUAAUACGGAGGGUGCAAGCAUUGAUCGGAAUUAUUGGGCGUAAAGGGCGCGUAGGCGGCCAGGUAAGUCAGAUGUGAAAUUCCGGGGCUCAACCCCGGAGCUGCAUUUGAAACUGCCUGGCUAGAGUAUAGUUAGGGAAAACGGAAUUCCACGUGUAGCGGUGAAAUGCGUAGAUAUGUGGAAGAACACCGGUGGUGAAGACGGUUUUCUGGGCUAAAACUGACGCUGAGGCGCGAAAGCUAGGGGAGCAAACAGGAUUAGAUA
rnacentral:rRNA from 1 species